GAGAGUUGGGUAGUCCGCACGAGCGCACCUCGCUUUUAGUUGCCAUCAUUAAGUUGGGCACUCUGAAAGAACUGCCAGUGAUAAGCUGGAGGAAGGUGGGGAUGACGUCAAGUCCUCAUGGCCCUUACGUGUUGGGCUACACACGUGCUACAAUGGUAUCUACAACAGGAAGCAAAACGGCAACGUUAAGCAAAUCCCGAAAAGAUACCUCAGUUCGGAUUGCACUCUGCAACUCGAGUGCAUGAAGCUGGAAUUACUAGUAAUCGUGGAUCAGCGUGCCACGGUGAAUGCGUUCCCGGGUCUUGUACACACCGCCCGUCACACCAUGGGAGUUGGUUCUACCUUAAGGCAAGGUUUUAAACCCUUGACCACGGUAUAGUCAGCGACUGGGGUGAAGUCGUAACAAGGUAGCCGUAGGGGAACCUGCGGCUGGAUUACCUCCUUUCU
rnacentral:rRNA from 1 species